AUUGAACGCUGGCGGCAGGCUUAACACAUGCAAGUCGAGCGGUAGCACAGGGGAGCUUGCUCCCUGGGUGACGAGCGGCGGACGGGUGAGUAAUGUCUGGGAAACUGCCUGAUGGAGGGGGAUAACUACUGGAAACGGUAGCUAAUACCGCAUAACGUCGCAAGACCAAAGAGGGGGACCUUCGGGCCUCUUGCCAUCAGAUGUGCCCAGAUGGGAUUAGCUAGUAGGUGGGGUAAUGGCUCACCUAGGCGACGAUCCCAAGCUGGUCUGAGAGGAUGACCAGCCACACUGGAACUGAGACACGGUCCAGACUCCUACGGGAGGCAGCAGUGGGGAAUAUUGCACAAUGGGCGCAAGCCUGAUGCAGCCAUGCCGCGUGUGUGAAGAAGGCCUUCGGGUUGUAAAGCACUUUCAGCGAGGAGGAAGGUGGUGAGCUUAAUACGUUCAUCAAUUGACGUUACUCGCAGAAGAAGCACCGGCUAACUCCGUG
rnacentral:rRNA from 1 species